rnacentral:rRNA from 1 species
UACUAGAGUAGCACUCGCAUAUCAAUAAGCGGAGGAAAAGAAACUAACAAGGAUUCCCCUAGUAACGGCGAGUGAAGCGGGAAGAGCUCAAAUUUGAAAUCUUAAAGGGUUUCCCUUUACGAAUUGUAGUUUAAAGAAGUGUUUUCUGUUGAGGUUUUGGUAAAAGUUCUUUGGAAUAGGACAUCAUAGAGGGUGAGAAUCCCGUAUUUGACCUUUACUUUCAACUUUGUGAUACACUUUCAAAGAGUCGGAUUGUUUGGGAAUGCAGUCCAAAAUGGGUGGUAAAUUUCAUCUAAAGCUAAAUAUUGGCGAGAGACCGAUAGCGAACAAGUACCGUGAGGGAAAGAUGAAAAGAACUUUGAAAAGAGAGUUAAACAGUACGUGAAAUUGUCAAAAGGGAAGCGUUUGACACCAGUGUUGUUUUUCUGAAAAUCAAUUAAAGAACUGUUUAUGCUAAGCUGUUUAGACUUUAUCAGCUAACUGUUUAGUUUUGAGCUUUUCUUUAAUGCACUUUUCAGUUAACAAGUCAACAUCAAUUUCUUUUGCUGUAAAAAAGCUUGAGGAAGGUGGCUUGAGAUUCGUCUUAAGUGUUUAUAGCCUCUUGCCUAUGCAGUCGGAGAGAUUGAGGUCUGCAGCGUAGAUCCUUCGGGGCUAAAUGCAUUUGUGCUAAGUUAUAGCAUUUUAUAGACAACUUGUUGACUAUGAUUUGUCUUGUAGCUUACUCGCUUAUGUUAUUUUACCUACGCUUAGGAUGUUGAGUAGCGACAUACGCAC